rnacentral:lncRNA from 1 species
CUGAUCCCUGUAACUUCCUCCUGACAAAAGAGCAAUAGGAGCAAGACUAGUUAGAACAAGGAAGAAUGACCGAUACCUGAAGGAAAAAAAUAUAUAUAUUCACAAGUCUAAAACGCCAUAAAAGAGCAGAAUAUGAAAUCCAGGAGUAGAAAUAAUCAUAGCUACAGCCAAUUAAAUAAUCAUAUACCCUAUAAUACCUAUCCACCAAAAAUACACUCCAUUUGCAUAGUUUCUAAUAAUUUCGUGGGA